AACAAAACGCCUUACAUUGAAACGAAAUCGCUCAUUACGUCGAAUUAUUUUAUUUUAUCCUUCCAAUCAUGUGUUGGGGAAAGUUUACUGCGACAAUAUGGCCCGAACAGCGAUUAUUCUAACUCUCUCUUUCGCCUGGGACAUAUAGCUACGCUUCAGGAAUUUAUACGCUGAGCACGUUGACAUUAGAAUGGAGAAUUGCCAGCUUAGAAAAUUCUGUAAGCGUUCAUGGGCAAGAUUUGGACACAAAUUGACGACAUGAUGCGGUUCUGACACUAUACUGGGAACGGAAAAGUUAAUAUACAACGUUGUCUAUUAACCUGACUUCGCUUGCAAGAACUGGAUUUUUAAGCAAAGUUUCCAUAUAUAUUUCUACUACAGUAUUGGGUAUGGUCACUUGUGGCAAUUUGGUAUUUAGACAUGGUUUUAUUGGCUGUGUUUUGGUUGAAAGUAUGUUUAUGACCAUGAGUGAAAUUCAAAAUGUGUCUGCUUUGGAAAUACGUCCUUCUGUUGAAAAUAUGCAGGCGGUCAGGUAAGAGCGUGCUUUUCAUUUCUAUUGUAAGUUAAAAUUAAUUUUGAUGUUACAUGGUAGUGUCACAAUAAUUUGCGACCGUGCAUUUUUCAGUAUAUAACCUGAGGUCGAAUUUCCGAGUCAGUUUCUUUAAGCUAACUCAAGCCAAUUUUUUUAUUCCAGAGAAAUGGACGUUUUUAUGCACCACAUUAUAAUUAUGUGCAAUUUUUUCAAAGUAUUCGAUGGGUUUCUUCGCAUAAUUGACAAAAAUUCCGUCGAAAUUAAAUUUAAACCCAACAAAUUAAAUUCAAUGCAAAUUCAACGUCUAAAACAGCCAUGGCCCUAUCUGUUUUGGAAAACAAUGCUUUCAGUAGCAAAACUGGAUCAAUAAGGGACUUACUGGACCUCUUGGGAGAACAGUUCAAAAUUCAUUGAAUAAUCUAGUAUCAGGAAGGUUAGUUUAGCUUUCCUCCUGUAGUAACUCUGGACUGACUCAAUAAAUCUGGCCCUAACUGCACAUUUAGCGAGAACAGUUUAAACAACGACAAUUUAUUUAAACAUAACACGUGCUGAAUUGUGAUUGGAAGUUUGUGUGACGUAUAUUUCCGUGCUUUUUUCCUGCAGUAGAUCAUGGCUCUCGACCAAUGGAAGGAUAUGAUUGGACAAGACUGCCAAGAAAGGUAUGUCUGUUUACGCGCACAUACACGUUGUCCACAAUAAAUUUUGGCAG